rnacentral:rRNA from 1 species
GAUGAACGCUGGCGGCGUGCCUAAUACAUGCAAGUCGAGCGAACAGACGAGUAUCUUGCUCCUCUGACUUUAGCGUCGGACGUGUUAUUAACACGUGUAUAACCUACCUAUAUUACUGGUAUAACUUCGUGAAACCGUAUCUAAUACCGGCUAAUAUUUUGAACCUCAUUGUUCAUUAGUUUAUGACGUUUUUGCUGUCUCUUAUAGAUUGAUCCUCUCCGCAUUAUCUAGUUGGUAAGGUAACGGCUUACCAAGGCAACGAUGCGUAUCCGACCUGAGAGGGUGAUCGGCAACACUGGAACUGAGAAACGGAAAAGAGGACGAGGGGAGGAAGCAGAAGGGAAUCUUACGCAAUGGGCGAAAGCCUGACGGAGAAAAGCCGAGUGAGAGAUGAAGGUCUUCGGAUCGUAAAAAGAUGUUAUUAGGGAAGAACAAAUGUGUAAGUAAAUAUGCACGGAUUGACGGUAACUAAUCAGAAAGCCACGGCUAACUACGUG